CAGCCGCCGCGGUAAUACGUAGGUGGCAAGCGUUGUCCGGAAUUAUUGGGCGUAGAGGGCUCGCAGGCGGUUUCUUAAGUCUGAUGUGAAAGCCCCCGGCUCAACCGGGGAGGGUCAUUGGAAACUGGGAAACUUGAGUGCAGAAGAGGAGAGUGGAAUUCCACGUGUAGCGGUGAAAUGCGUAGAGAUGUGGAGGAACACCAGUGGCGAAGGCGACUCUCUGGUCUGUAACUGACGCUGAGGAGCGAAAGCGUGGGGAGCGAACAGGAUUAGAUACCCCGGUAGUCCCUGUCUCUUAUAC
rnacentral:rRNA from 1 species